rnacentral:rRNA from 1 species
GGGUGAUAUCAAACCAGCACUACAGCACCGAAUUCC